CUUUUAUUUAACAAUAAAGUUUUAUUUAUUUCUGAGCACAAGAUUACGAUUUUAUUUCUAGAAAAUGGGAGAAAAGGUGGAAGGAGGAGGAGGCAGGGAAAAGGUGGAAACUUGCCCAGGCCCACAGCAGGAGCCCAACCCAGGGAACACUUAAGCUUGUGUAGAGUACUUGUAACCAGAAGCCCGGAGGGGGGGCACAGCAGAGGAUGCAAUGUGUCACUGUCGCGGCCAGAGCCCAUGCAGUGUAAACAUUAACAUUCUUGGAUGCACUAAGCACUGGGCUGCGGUCUACACUUGCACUCUGAGGUGGUGGAGUUAUUGCUAAAAUUUUGGAGUACUUGGACUUUUCUCAAGAGGCGUUGCACUUCUUUUCCCUACCGGGGAUUACCGCAGGUCGCAGCCCAGAGUCUGCGGAGGCGCACCGUUUCAUCGACAGCAGGGACUGAACCUUCAGCCCAGGAGAAGCCAAGAUGGCACCGAUAUCGCACCUAGGGAAUGGAGGACCGGGAAGAACUUAAUGAUGCGAUUCCUUCCGUGAUCUCAGUGACUGUAUCAGGCAAAAACGAGAAGGGCAAAAUACCGUCCAAAUGUAAACAAGGAGCAGCCACACCAGCAGCAGCAGAAUGCCGCGGUAGUUCGGCAGGCCCUGGCCCCAUGGACAAAGAGAAACUCGACAGUGGCAGUGGCCACGAACUCAGAAAGCCUGAGGACACUCAGCAGCUCCUCUGGCUCAUCACUUUCACAUUGGUGCAACUACAGGAGCUGAAGAACAUUUUCCAACUUGUUCCAUACCCGGACGUGUUAGGAUCAGAUUCAUCAUUGGACUCCUGGACCUAUCACUGUGGACCUCAAACGUGCACCUUUUAAGCCCUUUCCUUCACUCCUGACUGAUGGAUUUGGGAUCCACUGCUAAGUCAGACUUUUGAACCAUUGUUCCAGGCAAACUUCUGUUAAAGCUGGUAAGGACUGAUUUGAUUCUUAAGAUUCUGAGUAUACUCUCUAAAGCAGGUUAGAGUACCAGGCUUCUUUUGAAAGGUGUGUCCUAGGCUGGACGGUCUCCUUCCUGGAUCUCUGUCUUGAGUGGGGAUUAUUCUCUGGCUCCCUGGGCUGGAAGUUUUUCUUUCUGGCUUUCUAUUUUGAGUGGGAAUUAUUCAUUGAUUCUUUGGGCUGGAAAUUUUUUUUUUUUUUUUU
rnacentral:lncRNA from 1 species